UUGGCCCUGACUGAAGACCAGUAGUUAUGAUAUAGCUGGUGGUUUCAAACAGAGGCCCAAAAAAAGACUCUUCCUGUGAUCUGUUGGCUGUUCUGGAACAUCAUCAGGAAUAACUUUUUCAUUGGGAAGAAACAGCC